rnacentral:lncRNA from 1 species
ACAGGUGAAUAAAGAAUGAAAGAAUAAAUAUUAUACAUUUCAUGGGAGAGGGGUACAUUUGUUAUGAAUGGGGGUUGUCAUGGCAAUCAAACAAUAUAAAUAUAUGCCUCAUACACCAUACAAGUAGGCCACAGUUAAUCAAACAAUUAAGAUAUAAACAAGUAUAUGAUCAAAUCAAAUAAUCAAAGAAAUGAAAUGAAUGAGCAUUAAACAACGUAUGGGUGUAAGUGUAAGGGAACCGGCUCAUUGUAAGAAAGCCCAAGAGUAAGCUAUGUGAGGUUGAUGGCGAUGCUUAAAAAGCAAUCGACUUACAAGGGUGUAAAAAUGGGCUCGAUAUUAAAUCGAGAAAAACAUGAUUUUUAUAGUUUUAAAAUGGUUUUGAAUUAAAAUACAACAACUUUACAUUAUUAACAAAAUGAACAUAUGAGUGUAAUAAAGGCAUAAACAUAAAAAGAAACUAAAAUGCUAAAAGAAAAAAAUGAUAUAGCUAAUAAAAUGCCAAAAAAAGGUCGCACAUGAGUAUUGAACCCACCCCACCUAAUAUUAUGCAACUACCAUCUCUCCACUAGGCCACUCAACACUAUCUGCUAUUGAGGUACUAACAUAAAUAUAUGAACUGGGCUGACAAAUUUAUAACAAAAUAAAAAAAACAAAAUAAACAUUUUUAUGGUUUUAUAUUAUCUCUGUUAAAAACAAAUUAGGCUAAAUAAAAAAUAAAUAAUAAUAAUAAAAGAAAAUAAGAACAUAUACAUUUUUCUGAUUUUUGUGUUAAAAAUGAAAUAAAUUAAAUAAAUAAUAAAAAAAGAAAAGAAAAAACAAGAAAAUGGAAACGGAGAACACAGAAGCAGCUUCAUCGUCCUCGUCCUCCCCAUCUGCUUCACACAAAGAACCUCAAUGAAAUCUCUCUCCGCUCUCGAAAACGCUCAUNAUCUGCUUCACACAAAGAACCUCAAUGAAAUCUCUCUCCGCUCUCGAAAACGCUCAUCAACUCUCACAAUCUCCCUCACACCAAACCUCACAUUUCUCUCAAUCUCACAAUCGCUCGUACCUCAGC